ACUGAAUCUAGACAUAAUGCUGAUUUAAUUUAAGAAAAUAAAGCAAGGAAUAUAAGUAAAAAUCCAUAAACAUCUUUAGGUGAAAAAAUAGCUGCUUUUAUCCGCACCAAAUAUAAUAAAAGUAAAACGAAAAUAAGAAAUGGGUCUUACAUAUAAAAAAAAAAAAAUUAAUUAAUUUUAUAUAAUAAAUUAAUCUCUUUUUAUAAAUUAUGAACAAUUGAAUAUAAUUAAAUCUGCAUAAAAAAAAGUUUAAAAAUUAAUAAAUUAAACAAAUCUAAGAAAGAAAAAAAGGAUAGUGAUUAGAAUUGAAAUUUGAACAAAUUAAACAAAGUGAAUUUCUUCCACUUGUUUUUGUUGGAAUAGUAGCUGCAAGCGCUUUAGCUGGAAGAUUAAGUGAUAUUGCAAAUAUUAUAAUAGAAAUAAAACAUAAGAGAGCAAUAGCAAAGGAUAAAGAACAGCAU